rnacentral:rRNA from 1 species
AUUGGGUUUAAAGGGUGCUCAGGCGGGGGAUUAAGUCGGCGGUGAAAUUUUGCAGCUCAACUGUAAAAGUGCCUUCGAAACUGGUUUCCUUGAGUGCGGAUGAGGUAGGCGGAAUUUGUGGUGUAGCGGUGAAAUGCAUAGAUAUCACGAGGAACUCCGAUUGCGCAGGCAGCUUACCAAGCCGUAACUGACGCUCAAGCACGAAGGCGUGGGGAUCAAACAGGAUUAGAUACCCUGGUAGUCCACGCAGUAAACGAUGAUUACUGGCUGUUUGCGAUAUAAUGUAAGCGGCUGAGCGAAAGCGUUAAGUAAUCCACCUGGGGAGUACGUUCGCAAGAAUGAAACUCAAAGGAAUUGACGGGGGCCCGCACAAGCGGAGGAACAUGUGGUUUAAUUCGAUGAUACGCGAGGAACCUUACCCGGGCUUGAAAUGCAUCUGGUGUCCCGAGAGAUCGGGAUUUCCCACGGGACAGAUGCGUAGGUGCUGCAUGGUUGUCGUCAGCUCGUGCCGUGAGGUGUCGGCUUAAGUGCCAUAACGAGCGCAACCCCUACCGUUAGUUGCCAUCAGGUCAAGCUGGGGACUCUAACGGGACUGCCAUCGUAAGGUGCGAGGAAGGUGGGGAUGACGUCAAAUCAGCACGGCCCUUACGUCCGGGGCGACACACGUGUUACAAUGGGUGGUACAAAGGGCAGCUACAUGGCGACAUGGUGCCAAUCUCCAAAACCACUCUCAGUUCGGAUCGGAGUCUGCAACUCGACUCCGUGAAGCUGGAUUCGCUAGUAAUCGCGCAUCAGCCACGGCGCGGUGAAUACGUUCCCGGGCCUUGUACACACCGCCCGUCAAGCCAUGGAAGCUGGGGGUGCCUGAAGUCCGUAACCGUCAAAGGAGCGGCCUAGGGUAAAACCGGUGACUGGGGCUAAGUCGUAACAAGGUAGCCGUACCGGAAGGUGC